AGAUUGAACGCUGGCGGCAUGCCUUACACAUGCAAGUCGAACGGUAGAGUAGCAAUACUUGAGAGUGGCGAACGGGUGAGUAAUAUAUCGGAACGUGCUCAGUCGUGGGGGGAUAACGUAGAGAAAUUUACGCUAAUACCGCAUACGAUCUAAGGAUGAAAGCGGGGGACCGUAAGGCCUCGCGCGAUUGGAGCGGCUGAUAUCAGAUUAGGUUGUUGGUGAGGUAAAAGCUCACCAAGCCGACGAUCUGUAGCUGGUUUGAGAGAACGACCAGCCACACUGGGACUGAGACACGGCCCAGACUCCUACGGGAGGCAGCAGUGGGAAUUUUGGACAAUGGGCAAAGCCUGAUCCAGCAAUGACCGCGUGCAGGAAGAAGGCCUUCGGGUAGUAAACGUGCGUUUGACGGAACGAAACGUC
rnacentral:rRNA from 1 species